rnacentral:ribozyme from 1 species
UGCCCAGCAACUCCUAUCCCUACCUCCACGCGGUACCGGCCGGAAACUAUGAGCAACCUUAGGGAAGAUCGGGUAACCAACCCCGGUGGGAACUUUGAUCUUAGGCUGACAGGGAAGG